CCCUUAGAUGUUCUGGGCCGCACGCGCGCUACACUGAUGCAUUCAACGAGUCUAAAACCUGCUCUGAUAGGGGUGGGUAAUCUUUUGAAUGUGCAUCGUGAUUGGGAUAGAUGAUUGAAAUUUUUCAUCUUCAACGAGGGAUGCCUAGUAAACGCAAGUCAUCAGCUUGCAUUGAUUACGUCCCUGCCCUUUGUACACACCGCCCGUCGCUCCUACCGAUUGAAUGAUCCGAUGAAUAUCAUGGAUUGAGGAUGCAAGUAGGUUCACCUAUCUUCAUCUUCGAGAAGUGAAGUAAAUCUUAUCAUUUAGAGGAAGGAGAAGUCGUAACA
rnacentral:rRNA from 1 species